rnacentral:rRNA from 1 species
GACGAACGCUGGCGGCGUGCUUAACACAUGCAAGUCGAACGGAAAGGCCCUGCUUUUGUGGGGUGCUCGAGUGGCGAACGGGUGAGUAACACGUGAGUAACCUGCCCUUGACUUUGGGAUAACUUCAGGAAACUGGGGCUAAUACCGGAUAGGAGCUCCUGCUGCAUGGUGGGGGUUGGAAAGUUUCGGCGGUUGGGGAUGGACUCGCGGCUUAUCAGCUUGUUGGUGGGGUAGUGGCUUACCAAGGCUUUGACGGGUAGCCGGCCUGAGAGGGUGACCGGCCACAUUGGGACUGAGAUACGGCCCAGACUCCUACGGGAGGCAGCAGUGGGGAAUAUUGCACAAUGGGCGGAAGCCUGAUGCAGCAACGCCGCGUGCGGGAUGACGGCCUUCGGGUUGUAAACCGCUAUCGCCUGUGACGAAGCGUGAGUGACGGUAAUGGGUGAAGAAGCACCGGCUAACUACGUG